CAGUCGAGCGGAUGAGGGGUGCUUGCACCCCGAUUCAGCGGCGGACGGGUGAGUAAUGCCUAGGAAUCUGCCCGAUAGUGGGGGACAACGUUUCGAAAGGAACGCUAAUACCGCAUACGUCCUACGGGAGAAAGUGGGGGCUCUUCGGACCUCACGCUAUCGGAUGAGCCUAGGUCGGAUUAGCUAGUUGGUGGGGUAAAGGCUCACCAAGGCGACGAUCCGUAACUGGUCUGAGAGGAUGAUCAGUCACACUGGAACUGAGACACGGUCCAGACUCCUACGGGAGG
rnacentral:rRNA from 1 species